GCCGGGUGCAGUGGUGCAUUCCUGUAAUCCCAGCACCUCGGGAGGCUGAGGCAGGAGGAUUUCAAGUUCAAGGUCUACCUUGGCAAUUUAAUGAGACUCUGUCUCAA
rnacentral:sRNA from 1 species